UACGUAGGGGGCGAGCGUUGUCCGGAAUCAUUGGGCGUAAAGCGCGUGUAGGCGGCUUGGCAAGUCCGAUGUGAAAGCUCGAGGCUCAACCUCGAGUCUGCAUUGGAAACUGCCUUGCUAGAGUCCGGAAGAGGGGACUGGAAUUCCUGGUGUAGCGGUGAAAUGCGCAGAUAUCAGGAAGAACACCGGUGGCGAAGGCGGGUCCCUGGGACGGUACUGACGCUGAGACGCGAAAGCGUGGGGAGCAAACAGGAUUAGAUACCCCCGUAGUCC
rnacentral:rRNA from 1 species